GGAAUGGAGAGAUGAACUAAUACUUUGUAAAAAAUUACAGCAUUAGCGAUUUAAGGUAAACAACUUACAGUACUCCGAAUCAUACUGAUGUUCAUUACAAAUAAAAGAAAUUUGAUGAUGGAAACCAGUUUUCAAUAAAAUCUAGUGUUAAUAAGUUAACACCACAGAUAUAGAAAUUAAUAACAGUCAUUUAAAAUAUCAAAUGUAUUUUACGUUAACUGCAACCUCGAAUACAGAAAACUUCAUACAAAAUAAAACAAUCUCACAUGAUGUUUGCUUCUAUUGAUAGAUUACAGGUGUGAAGACUAAGACAUUAUACAAUACAAGAAAUUAAAACCAUAGGAAAAGUCGGAUUACAAAACACCAAACAAAACCUUUCUACUCAUAGUGUGUCUAAUUUGGGCGUCCUUGAUCUCUAUUUUCUUUUUUAAAGAUUAUGGGAACAUUGUAGAUAUUCCUAAAAGUUGCUGUAUUUUUCCGAUUUCUGUGAUACCUUGGUAUACACAAAUUAAUAACACUUAAUAUAAUUGUUAUAAAUAAUUGUUAUAAGACAUGCUUUAAUAUGAUAAUAGCGAUAACCAUGAUAUCAUGAUGAAUAAAUACAUAGUUCAUUUUAGAUAUUUGAGAGUAACCCCUCGUUGUCCUGACUUUAGAAUAAUGACACGUCUGAUAUUCUGUUAAAUCAUUUUAAUUGCUUAAAUUACAAUUAUUAAGAGUAAUUUAACAGUCAAUAAUAUAAAAGUUCGAUCUCUGUAUGAUGGAAGUUACUCUUCACUAAUAUAUGCGUGUUGUAACAUAAACUAUAUCACAACACGCAGUAACAUGAGUAACGCGCGGAAGUUAGAGUUAUCUUUGCUUGUUUUGUUGAUUAAAGAAUAAGAUUCACUCUUAUGUUUGUGAUACAGAUAAUGGCAAUUUGAUUACGACAUAUUUGUAUAACAAAAAUCUAUAUUUGUAUUUGACCUCAAAGGGACAUAUGAAUUCCAUCAACAUUACCUUCAAAUUGACCAACGAAAAUAAUUACAAGAAUUUUAGCAACUCCAUAGGAAUCAUGCAGGAAACUGUUAUUAAGUAGCAUCAUAUCGCGCGUAGUUUAGCAUUAGACUCUAUCUAAUUUUUAUUCAUUGGUAUAGCCUCCGAAAACUACCGAUGUUCAUUUGACCCAAAAUAAACAUACGACUCAAUUAUUUUACCUUUAAAAUGACAUGUAUUUUUGUCACACAAUUGACCAUGCUGAGAACAUGCCAAACCCAGCGCUGUAUCAUGUUAAGGUUAUCAACUUAAGGAAUAUAAAUGAGUUCGAGUUAUUGGUUUGAAAGACACUGUAAUAAAUCAGCUUUUUUAGGGUUAUUUUUUUAAAUCUUAUUUCAUCUUAAUUUCAUGAAAGCAGUUGUUCAAUUAAUCUCAUAUAUUGCAGUUUUUGGAUAAAAAAAUGUACUUAAAUGUUUUGCCUCAAUCUUAUUUCUUAAAUGUAGAUUCGCACUGAAUUCCUAUACUGACCCCCAUUACUUUUCAACCCUGUAGUAAAAAAAAUUAGUACAUUCACCAUUUUUUUUUUUUUUUUUUUUCAACUCUAGUUUUGAUCCAUCUGCCAAAAAAUAUUUAUUACAAACAUUAUCUACCAAUCAGAAGAGCAUAUGACUUCAGUGUUAUACAGAAAGCUCUCCCCUAAAUGGGCGGUCCCUGAUGACGCAUAUUUAUUUACUGAAUUUACCUCUAUAAGGGACUUUUUUACUUCUGUUCCCACUUUUUUUGUAAUAAACAUAUAAGGUAUCCAAUUUUCAAGUUCCAGUUUCAAUACAACAUUCAUAAAUGCUGAAUUUGUAAAGAUAGAGAGCAAAAUUUAUACUACAGCCCAUACUGCGGCCAAUGUAUAUUUGGUAUAUAAAGUUGCACAUUGACUGUUUUUAAAAGAAUGGUGUAAAAUACUAUGUUUAAUAAAUAUGAAUUGUUUUCUGUGUUUGCUUUGACCAGUAUUGCAAGUACACCUAGAAACUAAAGACUUGGUGUACUCUUAGUCAAAUUUUUCCUUAGAUGGAAGUUUUUGAUUAAAUACCCUGAAAAGACCACAAAAAACCUUUUAAAAGGCUUUUUUAAGCAGUUUGAUACCAAAUAAAACAACAAUUAUGUUUCAUUAUACUAAAUCUGUGUUUUAAUUACUUGUAAAGUUUACAAAAUGUCAUUGACAAUCACUCUGCAGAAAUUCCUGUUACCCCAACAUCAGGAUGGAUUCUUCGCCAAAACUAGACAGCCAGAACUGAAGUAGAAAAAAGUGCCAAAUAUGAAUAAAUAAGACUAAGUAUAACCAAACUUUGCAUUUGGAAGAUUAAAGUAACAAUUUGGAAAAUUUAAAAGCAAUUAUUUAACAUAAAAGUCCAAUUACAAACAUUUCAACACUUGUUUCCUAGAUGAAGGACAUGUAAUCAUGAAAAGUUGUAUAGUAUAGUUUUUAAAUAAAGAAACGCAAUGUGUUAUUUAAAAAUAAAUGAAUAACUUCCUGCGGUCAGAUUAUUCGAAUGUUAAAAUACUAGAAAAGUGCUUAUUUACCACUUGUUCUACAACUUAACAUGGGGAACACAGCUAAAAAAAAAAAUCACUAUGUCAAAGGGAGGUAAUCCAUUUUUUCAUAUGAUUUUAUAUACAUUAUGAGGAGAAAUAUGUGCAAAAUGUGAUGUAAAUGGGGAGAAUAUUUAUGCCUUUCAUUGAUAUCAUAACUCUAAAGUGUAAUUUCUAUUGUUUCUUUCUAUCUGCACACAAAAACUGAUUAUUUACCAUAUACUUCAUGCUUCCUCUCGAAGUACAUUCAGUGCAUGCUGGAUAGCCGCAGCUAAGAUAGACAUUUGUGUAAAAAACAACUUCAAAUGGUUCCAAAAUCCUUCCAUUACAUUAAAAUUUACAGGAAAUGAGUUUGUUGAUUAUUCUGUGGCCUUGGACAAGUACAGUGAAAGAGUGCAUAUUUUCCUAUAGGGGUAAAUUCAGUAAAAAAUCUCCCAUUGACUUUAAUGCUAAUCUAUGUAUGGAAUUAAAUUUAUACCUGAUUUACCUUUAGAAAUUUGAAACUUUCAUAUAACAUUCAUGAAAGUACAAAUGUAGCCCUAUCUUUUGCACUAAUAAAAACAUAGGGUCAUGCGGCAUUUUUGGGCAUUCACAUGGCCUUGUUUACAAACAAUGUAGAUUCGCACUGAAUUCCUAUACUGACCCCCAUUACUUUUCAACCCUGUAGUAAAAAAAAAUUAGUACAUUCAGCAUUUGUUUAAAAAAAAAUUUCAACUCUAGUUUUGAUCCAUCUGCCAAAAAAUAUUUAUUACAAACAUUAUCUACCAAUCAGAAGAGCAUAUUACUUCAGUGUUAUACAGAAAGCUCUCCCCUAAAUGGGCGGUCCCUGAUGACGUAUAUUUAUUUACUGAAUUUACCCCUAUAACUAUACUCCUUUUCUACCACAGAAAACGAAAGUGACAAAGAGAGAUCGAACAACCCCAGAUUAUUCUACUGCGUAGAUCUCAGAGGCAUAUUAUUCGAUCCGGUGAUCAGUGUUGUAACCCUUUAUCUGUGGUGUUAGUGCCUCUUUUAUAGACUGUUGAACAAGAUUCUCUUUUGAACCCCGUUCGUGACAUGUUUGACACAGCUUAUUCGCUUUCUCGAUACAACCUACACCCUUCUCUCUUCAGUCCGUUGAAUCAACCAAAUAAAAUGUACAUGUUUUGUGCUUUUCUUAUCUCUCCUAGGAGAAUAUUUAAAGGCAUUAUUUGCCCCUAAAGGCCAAACAAUCAAUAACCAACAAAUCUGUUUUGACAAUAUGACAACCCCUGGACUACGCUCAUAGGAACUUGUCCCAUGCGGGGGGGGGGGGUUGAUAUAUUACACAAAAUCACCAAAAGACAAAAUGGUUUGUUCUGUGGUAAUUAGAAAAUAAAUAAUCUGAAUGGUUUUACACUAGUAAUUUUAGGGUCCUUUAUAGCUUGUUGUUCGGUGUGAGCCAAGGCUCCGUGUUGAAGGCCGUACAUUGACCUAUAAUUGUUUACUUUUAUAAAUUGUUAUUUGGAUGGAGAGUUGUCUCAUUGGCACUCACACUACAUCUUCAUAUAUCUAUUAAGAUAUAUUGAAAAUCAUAACUCGGCAGGUCUUUUAAGCCAUUUUAUUAAUGCUAUUCCAUGUUUUUUCAAAAAAAUCGAGAAACGCAUAAAAGAAUAAAUGUAAUUAAAAUAUAUUUGAUAUGUCUCGAAACGGGUUUCAUCUAACUUGACCUAUAUUGUCUCAGGAACACUUACCUCACUUUUAUUACAUGGCUCAGGGCUGUAACUACAUUGAGGCUAUUGCCUCAUGUAGAAAAGUUCAAAACCAAACCUUGUCGUCAUAUCAAAUUGUUAAAUUACGACGAGUGUCUUGCAAGAAGCAACGUCUGUUCUUGUACUUUUCGGGGUCCAUGUUUCUUAUUUAUUUUUAGUUUUCAGUGUUACACAAGCAAGACGACUUCUGUUUCUUUUUGAAGGAUAUUCCCUAGACAUAUAAUUACUUUGAUCAGUUUUAUUUGGACUCUGUUGGAUAGUUGUCAAAUUGGCAAUCAUACAACAUCUCUUUAUAUUAUUUUGACCACAAAUCUCCUUUUGACUAGCAACAUCAGUAUCAAAUUGCAGGCCAGACUUCACUUUUCAUCAGUCUUUAAAAUUUACCUGUUUUUGAAAACACCAAUAAACUAAGAAAUAUCUGUAACAUGAUUUUUAUGUUUCUAAAACCUUUAUCAGGUACAUUUGACACUAAGAUGUUUGAAAAGAAAAUGAUAAGAAAUAUUUGAUAGAAUAAAAACUGACAAUCAUUGGUCUCUGUAGUUUCAUUGGCAGUAAUACCACAACUCUUUUAUACAGAGGACAAAAUUAUCUUAAAUGGAUUUUGUGGAAUGUUGUACAUGUAUUUGACAAUUUUUGUUAAUAUGUUACUUAUGGUUUGACACUUUGACAAACACAUUUGUUGACUUAUACAUAUAAUAUGAAAAGGAAAACCACAAAAGUGUAUUAGAUGUUUCCUUUAGCAUCAAUUUAAAUACAACUUUGAAGUUGUGUCCCAUGUAGGUUUAAUGAUAACCAAUGUCUUGAAAAAUCUAAAAUUGUAUUAUUUUUUUAAAUAUGUUAAAUGAAAACUUCAAUAAAUCCGCUAUAGAGAUCUCAUUCAUAUUUUUUCUCUCUGUUGUCUAUUUGUUGCAGAAUAAUUUUAAAAAAAACUUCCAAAAAAUUGAUUUAACUCUACUUUUAUUUACAGCAUUCUCAAAACGUUACAAUCAACUUUUGGUGUUUUUGUUGUUGACAUAAUAACAAUAUCAAUUGAAUGUUCUAUCUUCUAAAUGUCACUCUUCUUGAAGUUGUCUUCAUCUGAAAAGAAAACAAUUACAUUCAUAAUUAUACAUUUAAACUUAAUUUUAUUUAUUCCCAUAUACUGUAAGUUGUUAGUUUUAAACAUAAUGAAAUAACCUCAGUGACUUUAAUCAUGCUUUUCUGUCUCAUUUGUCUGAGUGUAUGUCGUUUCUUUUAUUUGUUCUCGGGUUUUUGUUUUGUUCAUUGAUUGCCCUUCUGUAUUCUCUUAGUUUUGAAAUCCGUUUGUAAUUUAGUAAUUUUGUUUUAAAUUUGAUCAAGACAUCUAUUUUAUUUAAGACUUUUUAGCUAAUUUUUACAACUUCACUACUUUAAAUUGCAUCCCAUUUAGAAGCAACAUCAAGUUUGUAAUGCAUAAUAAAAACUUACUUGAUAUAGUUAUAUCAAUGAUAUGCAGCCCCUUUUCAACUUAAUUAAGAACAAAACACAUAAUUUAUAGGUAUAAAAGAUUAAAAUUUUGCAAGCCGAAACACCAAUAAACAAAAAACAGCAACCAAACUUAACUAUGUAAAUAACAUUUUUACUUUAUUCUUAAUAUUAAUCUUUUGAUGUUGUCCCUAAAAAUCGAAGUCUUACACUAAAUCUAUACAUAUUGAUUUUAAACCAAAAUACUUCCGUUUUAAGAAUAAGAAAUGGUAUGGGAAACGCCCAGAAAGCAUGAUGUUGCAUCAUUUCUUUUAUAGCUUCUUGUGGACUUCUGCAGCUCCAGAACCCUUUGGUAAUUUUUAAGCAUCGCUUGGCAAAUAGGAUGCUUAAGUCAUAUUUCUGAUUCAAUCCGAAAGAGUAGAAUUUACUCAUAUCUAUUGUUUUGAUGACAACUACAUAAAUAUCAAGAAUAUAAAAGUGAAAGCCUAUUAGCAUGUGCACCUCAGCAGAUGUCAAAUAACAGUUACACAAUGUAAUACCUUUAAGACGAUUCUUUUUUUUAAAUAUAACAUUCAGUUCGUAGAAAAGUUUAACCAAUGGCAGCAAUCUUUCAAACUAGCUUUCAUUACAAUAUACAUUUAUAGAUAAAUGAAUAAAUACUACAUUUAAUGUGGAAAAUGAUUAUACGAACAACUUUAGGAAUUGUAAGCAAUGAUUUCUUAUGAUAUAAUGAAAUGACUACUUUUUGCUUUUAUAAUAUUAUUUUGUUGUAGGGUGCGCAUUCUCUAUAGUGUUAUGGCGACUUCAUCUUUGAAUUGUGGUGUUUGUGAUCUCCGCAAUAUUUCCAAACUUUUAGCGAUCUGGUACUGAAUCUGAUGAAGGACUUUGCGAGGGUUGUCAGGAACAUCACAGCUGAUCUAAAGG
rnacentral:lncRNA from 1 species